rnacentral:misc_RNA from 1 species
GAUGAAGAACGUAGUGAAAUGCGAUAAGUAAUGUGAAUUGCAGAAUUCAGUGAAUCAUCGAAUCUUUGAACGCACAUUGCGCCCGCCAGUAUUCUGGCGGGCAUGCCUGUCCGAGCGUCAUUUCAACCCUCGAACCCCUCCGGGGGGUCGGCGUUGGGGAUCGGCCCUUUCACCGGGUGCCGUCCCCCAAAUACAGUGGCGGUCUCGCCGCAGCCUCUCAUGCGCAGUAGUUUGCACACUCGCACCGGGAGCGCGGCGCGUCCACGUCCGUAAAACACCCCAAACUUCUGAAAUGUUGACCUCGGAUCAGGUAGGAAUACCCGCUGAACUUAAGCAUAUCAAUAAGCGGAGGA